AAGGAGACUUUUUCUACCUCCGAGAAUCAUCGCAAUCGCAGCUGGUUGCUCAUUACCAUAAUGUCACCCGACGUCGAGCCCAACAAAAUUAGAGACACGUGACAACAGAUUGGGGACACGAGUGAGCUGGUUGGCGGUCACCAGAAACCUUUCUGAGUACUGUUCCCGGUGCCCGGGGAUAUCCCAAGGCCGUAGGUUGAGGACUGGAAGUAGGUUUAAACUACGAGUGAAACGUCCUGGGGUUCGUCCUCGGCAUAAUUUUUUUUGAAGUCACUUUAGGUCUGGGAAGAAUUUGUUCCUCUACCAUUCCCCUCGUUUUUUCGCGCCUUUCUAUUAUUCCAGGUCGUCCUCCCGCUCCCGUGGAGGUCAUGAUCGCUCGACGAUGGAGGACUUUGCGCCCAUUCUUCGCAAGAUAUCUUCUUUCGAGGACAUGCUCGACCAAGUAAAUCACCUCUCUCUCUCUCUCACCCCUCCAUCCCCCAAGAAAGAAAUUCCCAAAUUCCUCCGAAAUGUCGUAUAUCAGUUGCACCGGAAAAGAGAGCUGAGUUAGGGCUACGGUAAUUUUUCUAUAAUCAUGCAUCGGCCAGCAAAACAACUGGGAGCUUGCCCCGGUUAUUUCUUGAAACCUUGUUGGACGAUUUUAGUAUUUUUGUUCUACUCCUGAAAUUCUUAAUCAGUGCUGGGAUGUGAGAGAAAUAAAGAAUUCCUAGCCAUUGUCAAUGAACGCAGUUUUUAUGGCCACAAAUUGUUCGAUCUGCUCACGUCUUUAUAUUUCAUUGGUGUUUUAGUAAAUGACACAUAUUACAGCUGGAGUUUGUACAAGUAGUUCGUGAUGGACAAGUUUUGGCCAAUUGCUUUCAGGAUACAACAAUCUAAGUCAGGUGAAAGAUUGAGUAUAUUAUCAGGGCUUAACAAAUCAAGAAACUAGGGUUGGAUCUACAAGUUUAGAUAGUUUUGUCAUUUGCUAUGGUAUAACGAUAUAAGAGUGUGCUGGCAUAAUGGCUCCGCCUGCUUGCACUAGUAAAGAAGAGCAAACCACUUGGGAGUAAUUCCUUCAGUGGCAGAAGCUUUAUGAGAUGGAUCGUGAUCGGGUCUGGUUUGGGCUGUGUUUGGAUCAGGUCAACAACUUUUACUAGCUAGCAUGAGCUUGUCUUGGACCUGACCUGACCUGUCAAUAGGUUGAACUCUGGUAUCCCACUUGACAGGACUAAUCAACAUUGCCCAAACGAGCUUGCACAGGUAUAUCCCUUUUGAAAAUUUCCCUGACCGUUAAAUGCGUAUUAUAGGCAGAGCUUACAUUCUUUUAUUAUUUUUGAUCUUGGCAUGCAUAUGGUUAGAUGCUGAUUGGGUAAGCUUCGAUUGGCAAGGAGUCUGCAAUUGGUUGUUGUAUUUUGUUGCAGAAUUUUGGUCAGUUGGAAAAGUGAAAAAGUUUAGCAGCUUCUAUUUGCAAAGAGGUAGAAUAUAAAUCUGUGGUAAAUGCAGUAAGAAAGUUAUUUUUGCUUGAUUUGCUUCCCGUUUUGGCCCCUUCAAGCCCGUCUAAGGCCUAUCAGAAGUCCGUGGUUGAUGUUCAGAUACCUUUUUCAAUCAACUACCAUUCAUAAUAUCAUAUAUGGAUGUAUGGUCACCUUCAUUCUAGGCAUACCUGAAUAACAUCAGCGAUGGUUCAUCUGUACACUGCAUGUUCUAGAUAAGUUUUUGAGGAAAUAUAUACUAGACAUUUUAAGCAUACAUGUAUUACUAGCAAAACAAGAGAUAGAAAUUUGCAGUUACUCUUAUCAUCUAUCACAGAGGAUUACUUCUCCAUAUAUGGGAGCAAUAUAAACUUGAUUCUGUCACCAACAUGGUAAGAACUCCACAAUAAAAUAAUAUAGAGAAUGAGUAUCUCCUGCACAUACAACACACCCGGGCAUGCAAAAUUAAGGAAUCCAAAGGAGAAAGUAGGAAGACAAGUAUCCAGUGAGUCUUCAUGUUUAGGUUAUUCAUGACCUAGUGCCAACCCUUUCUGAGGUUAAUUCCUUUUGUUGAUCAUUCAACAUGAAAAAUAAAUGUUGAAGCUAGCCUCCUUCUAGAUGAUUGGAAGAAUACACUGAAGCCAUCCUAGACUAUUCCCCCUGUGGAAUCCAUAUGAUUGCAAUGAUUAACUUCUUUUGUAGCUUUGUAUACUAUUUUAGGUGCAGGACUAUAUCAUUAUCCCACGGUUUCUCUUGAAGCUUAUCACCAGAUCAUCAUCGCACACUAUCCUUGUGCAUGUGUUCUUUGUUAACUUACCAUUGCUUAUUUGUACUGAAAAUUCUCUAGUUUCCUCAGUUUUUGAGAAUAGUAUAGAGUUUCAUGUUUGGGUAUUGAAAUGAAGUUCUUCUCUAUGGUUGAGAAAACAUCUGAGGUUUUUUGCACAUUACACUAGCAUAUUGACGUAUGGGUUAGUAUGGUCCCUUUGGAGUGUCACAGGAAUGCAAUGUGCCCUGCUUAUAAUAUUUUAACUUGAUAAGCAACAUAAGCACAAAAGGAAAGUGACUCUGUCAAACUUACCAUCUUAUUGUGUUGAUCUGUUUGUCUGCAUCUCGACAAUGAUGCAACUUGUUGGCUUCUUCUUUAGGUGCUGUACCUAUAGACAAUUUCUUUUUCUCAUUGACAACUGUGUGACUCAUCAUGAGCUUGAAGAAGAUGGGAGAGGAAACUGAUGAUUAUUGGGUACACACACACAUGCCAUUUUAUAGCAUUGAUGCAUUUUUUCACAUACUGUGCUGAUGCUCACCAUGGUUGAUACUUGAUAGCACACACUAUUGCACUAUUCCAGGUUUUUUCUAACCCAUUUCAGAUAUGCACCAAAACAUACUGAUGUACUUCGGAUUUUGGUGCAAUUAAUUCCUUACAUUUACUCACAUAUUUAAAACUAUAUUCACAGUGGCAUCUAAAAUAUGCAUUAGACUCUCUGGAACAUAGCCAUCAGUAUCUUAAAUCUUAAUUUUUUUAUUUCUUUUAGUAAUUGAUGAAUGACUGACUUCCUAAUAUGUCUGCCAUCACAAAACAAAAUUGCUGCUGAACAUCUCUAUAUUUUUUUAUGCAGUAUUCAAAAUCGUGCAUUCUUUUCCUGAUUUCUUAUAAACCUAAUGACGUAGGCUUGUUUGGAAAUUGGCAAUUGAAUAAUAUGAUUGUUUUGAAUAAGGAAAAAUUCAUUGUUCUAUGUGAUCAAUUUCAAAGGGGAAAAUGAGGAAUUAUGACUACUGUCAUUGGAGAAAGAAGCCAUUGAACAUGAAAAACAUAUUCUAAUGUGAAGAUCACUGCUUUACAAAACUCUAGAAAAGAGUUUAUUGAAAAGAUUUUGGAAGAAUUCCAUAAUUCCAUUUCUGGCAGCACAACUGUAUUGCUUUCUUUAUGUAAACAAACUGCUUUGAAAGUAAUUCAAUGUUAUCCUUUGAAUUGUAUCUGUUUUGUGAUUUACUUCUGUUGAUAGUGGUCUCUUUAUUCAUUUUGAAUUAUCUAUGCUAUCACUCCAUGCAAUGACUUUGUUGGCGACAUCAGAGAAAUAUCUUCUAUGUCGUUCCUUUGCACUUAUUUAUACUCUCUUUUUUUUUCUUUUUGACUUUUAGCUUUCUAAAUUUGAACUUCAAAAUUCUUAAUUCCUUCACACAAUAGAUUGUUAUUCAACACAACUAAAUUUUUUAGUUAAUGAAACAUCAUUCAUGCUAUCACAUCAAUAAAAUCAUCAUUAUCGUGUCACCAGGGCACUUCUCACAUCAAAACUGGCUUAGUUGCAGAGCGAAACUCCAUGCGAAAAAUGCUCUGUGGGGGAAUUCAGCAGAUUUUAUGACCAGCUGUCAGCCUGGUGUCUUCCUCUUAAGAUCAAUACCGGGCUAAAGCAACCUUAACCAGGUGAGGGUGCUGCCACGAAACCAAGAAGGGCAUUUAUUAUGGUGGGUACAGAUACCUAGCCUGUUGGUCAUAAUUUGGUUCCUGCAACUAGGGAGCAUCCCCUUGAAAUUUCUUGCAUUCUUGGAAAUAGUCUGAAUGAAGAGGGAAGGUGACAAGUUUGAAACAGAUUCCCUUGAAGAAACACAAGAAAUUCAGGAAAGAAGAAGAUUUAAACUUUCGUACCUUCUAAUAAAAGAAUCUUCUCAUCUUUAAUUUGAUGUUAUUUCAGCCUACAAGUGUAAGCUGCUUGAGGGUUCCAUGGAUCCGUUCUAUAUUCAGGAUUCCUUUGAUAUAUACACUUGGCCUCACAUCAAUCUUGAUGCUAAUAAUGGUGCUCAGAUGUUCAGUUGAUGGUGCAAUUGGAUCAUGCUUUUUGUAUGAACUCUCAUCUAAUCCAUUAAACAAGGAGUUCUUUCUUUUCUAUUUAUGAUGGGGCAAGCUCAAUCUGCAUGUUUGAGACAUAUGGAUCAACCUAGGAUGGAAUCAUCUGGACAGAUAGUUAGCUGCAUGCGAGUGAUCGAUAUCUUGCUAAAAGGGCUUCUAAUUUAAUUUUCUUCAUGAUAAAGAGACUUAGCUAUUGAAGAAAAUAUGGGACAGUUCCAGAACUGACAGACUAUGGUCCGAAGCCUUGAGCUCUCUGCAUAAUUAAAGUAACAGAAACUAUAAAGUUACAACAAAUACUUUGCAUAUUUAACUCCAAAUGAUGGACAUAUAUAUAUAUGUUAUAUGUAUGUGUGUAUGUAUGUAUGUGUUAACAGAAAACAAUCAACCUGACCUAACCUGCAUGAAUUGCAGCUGUUAGAAGGACUUGCACUGUAAAAUAACAUAUUCAUGUGUUUGCAGAUUCUUCAUCAAGUCAGCAUGCUGGUCCGUUAAGUGUCAUGUCGGCAUACAUUGUCUAAAACGUUGUGCUUCAUGGUUUGUUAGCACAGGUGACUGGUAUAUUUUGUAAUACCUAAUGAAAGAAGGUGUUGUUGUAAUUUAAGAAUGCCAAAGAUCAUAGGUUGUGUAAUAAAGCACAUCAACUGAAGGAGGUCAUUAUGCUUCAUCUAAGUUGACUCUUCUUCGGGUGCUGCUCAGAACAAAAUUGCUCUCUUGCAACUGGUGUGGGAAUCUUCAUUGAUGUAAGCAUGAUAAGACAAUAAUGUCAGCAGGAGCAUAUUUUAGCAGUGGAUGUCAACUUUCUAUAUUUGUCUAUAUUUCUGCAAAAUUCUGUCAUUUUA